rnacentral:lncRNA from 1 species
UGCUUUUCAACUAUUUUGGGUGGAAGAGAGGCCAGAAAGAGUAUCCACAUACCCACUUAGUAGAUAACCCUUCAAAGGAGAUGCUGCCUACCUAAUCAGCUGUUCUGUAUGUUUUUUAACUUUUAUGUCAACAGGCUGUAUGUGCACUGCUGGUUUUGAAACUGAGAAAGAGAGCUAAAUGUACAGAAUCCACAUGAUCGCAUGGACUUUUCCUGCCACAGUACUAGGUAAUGUUUCGCAGGUUGCAAAUAUCACAAACCAUGGUAAAAACAGGCUCUGAAACCAAACUAGAAAUGCUCAAGAGGAGGCACUUCCUGGAAGCAAAAACAUAUGCCCUUUAGACUUGCAGGUGAUUAUGAGAAGAAAGCAAUGGCAGACUUGACAGAGUCUGCCAUUGAAGAGUCAUGUGAAGAGUCUCCAUACUAGCAGCAAUCUGUCAUCUUCAGACCCUUUGGUUAUUGGAUGAAGAAAGUACAACAGGGGGUGAGAACUCGGGAGUUCUUUCUAAGUGGAGAAAAACCAGAUUCUGUAACACCUGUGUGCGACUCUACAGAGUAGAUAAUGUGUGGGCUCCUACCAAAUAAGAUGAAUAAUAAUAAUAAUAAAAAUAUUUAAACCAGGACA